GAUGAAUGCUGGCGGCGUGCCUAACACAUGCAAGUCGAGCGGCAGCGAGGGGUGCUUGCACCCUGUCGGCGAGCGGCGAACGGCUGAGUAACGCGUAGGAAUUUGCCCCAAAGUGAGGAAUAACUGCCCGAAAGGGUAGCUAAUGCCGCAUAUGGUCUUCGGAUUAAAGGAUUUAUCCGCUUUGGGAGAAGCCUGCGUUGGAUUAGGUUGUUGGUAGGGUAAUGGCCUACCAAGCCGACGAUCCAUAGCUGGUCUGAGAGGAUGAUCAGCCAGACUGGAACUGAGACACGGUCCAGACUCCUACGGGAGGCAGCAGUGAGGAAUCUUCCACAAUGGGCGAAAGCCUGAUGGAGCCACGCCGCGUGAAGGAUGAAGGCCUUCGGGUUGUAAACUUCUUUUAUGCGUGAAGAAUAUGACGGUAACUCAUGAAUAAGCACCGGCUAACUACGUG
rnacentral:rRNA from 1 species